UACAGAGGGUGCAAGCGUUAAUCGGAUUUACUGGGCGUAAAGCGUGCGUAGGCGGUUCGUUAAGUCGGUUGUGAAAUCCCUGGGCUUAACCUGGGAACUGCAGUCGAUACUGAUGAACUAGAGUGCGGUAGAGGGUGGCGGAAUUCCAGGUGUAGCGGUGAAAUGCGUAGAUAUCUGGAGGAACACCGGUGGCGAAGGCGGCAUCCUGGACCAACACUGACACUGAGGAGCGAAAGCCAGGGGAGCAAACGGG
rnacentral:rRNA from 1 species